rnacentral:rRNA from 1 species
UACGGGGGGGGCAAGCGUUGUUCGGAAUUACUGGGCGUAAAGGGCGCGUAGGCGGCCUUCUAAGUCGGACGUGAAAUCCCUCGGCUUAACCGAGGAACUGCGUCCGAUACUGAAAGGCUUGAAUCCGGGAGAGGGGUGUGGAAUUCCAGGUGUAGCGGUGAAAUGCGUAGAUAUCUGGAGGAACACCGGUGGCGAAGGCGGCAUCCUGGACCGGUAGUUGACGCUGAGGCGCGAAAGCUAGGGGAGCAAACGGG